GACGAACGCUGGCGGCGUGCUUAACACAUGCAAGUCGAACGGAAAGGCCUUUUCGGAGGUACUCGAGUGGCGAACGGGUGAGUAACACGUGGGUGAUCUGCCCUGCACUCUGGGAUAAGCCUGGGAAACUGGGUCUAAUACCGGAUAGGACCGCACUUUAGUGUGUGUGGUGGAAAGUUUUUUCGGUGUAGGAUGAGCCCGCGGCCUAUCAGCUUGUUGGUGGGGUAAUGGCCUACCAAGGCGGCGACGGGUAGCCGGACUGAGAGGUUGGUCGGCCACAUGGGGGGUGGAGAUAGGCCCAAGACCCCAGGGGGGGGAGGCGGGGGGGAUUGUUGCACAUUGGGGGCAGGCGUGUGGCGGCGCCGCCGGGGGGGGGAUGCGGGCUUGGGGGUGGUAACCCCCUUGGGCCGGGGAGGAGGCUUUUGGGACGGUACCCGGAGAAAAAGGCCCGGACAAACAAGGUC
rnacentral:rRNA from 1 species